AUAAAGUUUUCAAACCGUUUCCUAUUGACAUUGAGUUCUCCUACUUGACCUUGGUUAUGCCAAGGUUUUU
rnacentral:ncRNA from 1 species